CCCGUGAUCCUGAAGAGUGAGGUGGGCAUCAGAGCGGACGGAGACGCUGAAGAGGGACUUCAGGAGCCUGAUUGAGACGGUGCGCAGCAUAUCGCCUGCAUGAUGAUAAUCGUGUCAGGACCACUUCCCACAUAUAGAUGAGGACAUGAAAGGCUUUUUAGAUCUCCUGUUGGACAACAUCUCCAGGACACUUCGCUCCAUAUGACUAUUUGUGAAAAGAGAUAAUCAAGAGAAGUCAGUUCCAGAUCCACCCUCCACACCAGACCUCUCUCUCACGAGGAUUGCUGUCUACUAGCAUAUUGUGUUCUUCAGCUCUUCAGACUUCGGUGGAUGCAGAUAUUACUCAGGG